AUUUGAUUUUGUGUUUGACUGGACAGUAUUUAAGUAUCAGCAAUCACAAUCUGGAAACCCUCAACCUCGUCCCCAGGAUGGUGGUGUUGGAACUAGUUCUGGAUUAAACCCUGCGGUCGGCAAUUCUGAGAAGCGUCCAGAUGUCCCAAACCAGAGAACAAAUCCG